rnacentral:rRNA from 1 species
AUUCCGUCAGUAGCGGCGAGCGAACGCGGAGAAGCCCAAACCAAGGAGCUUGCUCUUUGGGGUUGUGGGACGUCUCACAUGGAGUUACAAAGGAGUCAGUUAAACGAAGAGGUCUGGAAAGGCCCGCCAAAGAAGGUAAAAGCCCUGUAAUUGAAAGUUGACUCUCUCCGAGACGGAUCCCGAGUAGUGCGGGGCACGUGAAACCCCGUAUGAAUCCGGCAGGACCAUCUGCCAAGGCUAAAUACUUCCUAGCGACCGA